rnacentral:tRNA from 1 species
GUCAGGAUCUCUGAGCGGUUUCUAAGGCGCAGCGUUUAGGUUGCAGUCCACUUCUGUGGGCGUGGGUUCGAAUCCCACUUCUGAUA